rnacentral:rRNA from 1 species
UACGGAGGGGGCUAGCGUUGUUCGGAAUUACUGGGCGUAAAGCGCACGUAGGCGGCUUUGUAAGUUAGAGGUGAAAGCCCGGGGCUCAACCCCGGAACUGCCUUUAAGACUGCAUCGCUUGAAUCCAGGAGAGGUGAGUGGAAUUCCGAGUGUAGAGGUGAAAUUCGUAGAUAUUCGGAAGAACACCAGUGGCGAAGGCGGCUCACUGGCCUGGUAUUGACGCUGAGGUGCGAAAGCGUGGGGAGCAAAC